CCUACCGGUGGCAGCAGUGGGGAAUAUUGGGCAAUGGGCGCAAGCCUGACCCAGCAACGCCGCGUGAAGGAAGAAGGUAUUCGGGUUGGAAACUUCUUUUCUCAGGGACGAAGCAAGUGACGGUACCUGAGGAAUAAGCCACGGCUAACUACGUGCCAUCAGCCGCGGUAAUACGUAGGUGGCAAGCAUUAUCCGGAUUUACUGGGUGUAAAGGGCGUGUAGGCGGGACUGCAAGUCAGAUGGGAAAACCACGGGCUCAACCUGUGACCUGCAUUUGAAACUGUAGUUCUUGAGUACUGGAGAGGCAGACGGAAUUCGUAGUGUAGCGGUGAAAUGCGUAGAUAUUAGGAGGAACACCAGUGGCGAAGGCGGUCUGCUGGACAGCAACUGACGCUGAGGCGCGAAAGCGUGGGGAGCGAACAGGAUUAGAUACCCCAGUAGUC
rnacentral:rRNA from 1 species